AGUGAACGCUGGCGGCAUGCCUUACACAUGCAAGUCGAACGGCAGCACGGGAGCAAUCCUGGUGGCGAGUGGCGAACGGGUGAGUAAUAUAUCGGAACGUGCCCAGUCGUGGGGGAUAACGUAGCGAAAGCUACGCUAAUACCGCAUACGAUCUACGGAUGAAAGCGGGGGAUCGCAAGACCUCGCGCGAUUGGAGCGGCCGAUAUCAGAUUAGCUAGUUGGUGGGGUAAAAGCUCACCAAGGCGACGAUCUGUAGCUGGUCUGAGAGGACGACCAGCCACACUGGAACUGAGACACGGUCCAGACUCCUACGGGAGGCAGCAGUGGGGAAUUUUGGACAAUGGGCGCAAGCCUGAUCCAGCAAUGCCGCGUGCAGGAUGAAGGCCUUCGGGUUGUAAACUGCUUUUGUACGGAACGAAACGGUGAGCUCUAAUAAAGCUUGCUAAUGACGGUACCGUAAGAAUAAGCACCGGCUAACUACGUG
rnacentral:rRNA from 1 species